rnacentral:lncRNA from 1 species
UCGGGUCGUGUUCUGACAGCUAGCACUCCACUCUUGUUUGCUGCGUGCGUUCGUCGCUUGGCCCGCUUGCUGUUCUCGCAAAAGCGCGGGGCAGAGGAGAGAAAGAAGCCUCUCGUUCUCCGAGAGAGACGCAGAGGCCGCAGUCAGGGCCUGGAUAUACUCGGAGGCUCGGCUUCUCCUCUGGGUGCUCCUUGUUGCUUCCAGGGAAAGUUUAGUCUGGAUCUGAGGCCUCGUGGCGCUCUUCCUGGUUUUUCAAUUUUGGUGGAGAAAUAGAGUUUGUGGUGAAGUAAAUGGCACCGCUGGAAUCCAAACCCUAAUGAAGCAGAGUCUCUUCUUAACCACUGUCUAUACUAAAGGUAAUUUAAAACAGGGUGCAGACAACAGGAAAGCAACAACUCUGGUUUGGUCACCGUGGUGGUCUUGCCCAGCACAUGGUGGGAGUCCAGCCAGAGCUGAUGGGAGCACCACAGGCAUCUCCCCUGAUGCAGGGUAAAUUGCAGAAGCCGUGGUACCAGCCCGCAUCCAUGACCCCACAGAUAUUCCCCUUCUCCAAGUGGACUGACCCAGGCCUUUUACAAACACAGAAGGAUCUUGUGCAAGAUGAAUUCUAGUACUAGCUACUAAAAGAUCUCUUCACACAAAAGGCAAUAUUCCUGAAUUUGUAUUGGUCCAGGCAUUCGAGAAUCAAGAUGUUUUCCUGUUUCCAUGGAAGCAGAGUUCAUUUGGCUGGGAUGUUCUGAGCUUUUGCUUCCAGACCUUUGAUGCCGGGGCAUGUUGUCUUCAGCAGAGGCUCUGGCCAAGUCAGAUGCCCACGUGUCUCUGCUUGGUGAAGCCGAAUGCCUCGCCAUGACUCUGGAGAAGCUCUUUAAGUGUCUGAUGCAGUGGGAAGAGCUGAGCCACAGCUUGAUACCAGUGUUGGGCCCCAGAGUCCCCAUAUGCUGCCUCUCAAGGGUGGUAUUCAAAGUGGGUUGUUGUUCUUGUUGUUGUUUUGGUCACAUCCCAGGCGUAACUGCAGUACAACAUCACAGCCAGGAUGCUGACAUUGAUAAUCCUCCUAUCUCAUUCACAUUUCCCCGUUUUACUUGUAAUGUGUGUGUGUGUGUGUGUGUUUGUAUUUAGUUCUUUGAUGUUUUAUCACAUGUGCAGAUUAAUGUAUCUGCUACAGUCAAGAUAUAGAACACCUGAAUCCUUUGUGUUGCUCUUUGGUACCCACCUCCUCCCCAUCCCUCCACCCCAACACCUGGCAACCACUGAGCUAGUCUCCAUACUGCAAAUUUUGUGAUAUCAUUUGUUACAUAGAUGGAAUUGCCUAUUGCAUAGCUUUGGCGGAAUGGCUUUUCAUUUUCCCCCUCAAAACAUAUUUCUUUACAAUUACUACAAGCUGUUGCAUGUAUCAGUAGUUUUCUUUCUUUCUUUCUUUCUUGCUUGCUUCCUUCCUUCCUUCCUUUCUUUUUUUUUUUGGCUGAACCAGUAGUGGCAGGCAGAAGUUCUGGGACCAGGGAUCGAACCCAAGCCAUAGCAGUAACCAAAGCCACAGCAGUGACAAUGCUGUACCCUCAACUCUCUGAGCCAGCAGGACUCUCCUCAAAGUGUUUUUUUUUUUUUUUCCUUUCUUUUUAGGGCCACACCCACAGCAUAUGGAAGUUCCUGGGCUAGGGGUCAAAUUGGAGCUGCAGCUGCUGGGUUACACCACAGCCACGGCAAUGUGGGAUCCAAGCUGUGUCUGCAACCUGCACCAUGACUCACAACAACACCCAGAUCCUUAACGCACUAAAUAAGUGCAGGGAUCGAACCCUUAUCCUCAUGGAUACUAGUUGGGUUCAUAAUCACUGAGCCACAAUGGGAAGCCCCCAAAGUGGGGUUUUGGAAGAUAGUAGGAUUAUUCUAGGCUCAGAUUAAAGUCAGGUGGGUAAGCAUCAUUGCACAGGGAGGAAAAAGUGUGAGCCAGAUGGUGAAGGCAGGAAAGUUAGAGCCCUCUUUGGGAAGGAGAUGGCGAUAUUGUAGGAACCAGCUUGGGGUUUGUUUGGGAGGGACAGCAGCAGGCUCUCUCCCUGCCUCGUGUCACUUCCCUAUGUCCUUCCUGUGAUUUGGGGGCCUCUGUGGUGCAUGGCCACCUGUAUGCAGGCAGCACCAGCAUCUUGUCCCUCUUGCUCUGUCUCAGGGCUCUCUCCUGGGUGCAGGAGAGCACUCAGCCUGCUUGCAGGAGCAUCUCAGCACGCAGGCAGCCCCCAGCCCAGGGGAGGAAGGUUGGUGGACCACACCAUGACAUGUGGUCUACACACGUCCUUUGAGGGGUGAGCCCGGUGCCCACAGUGGUAACCAGUGCGAUAACGCUGUUUAACCCUUUCGAUACCCUCACACUUGCCUGGGCUCAUCUUGCAAAGAAGUCACCUGCAUGUGAUUUAUGAGCAUGGAGGAAACUACUGAAGGGUACGCGGUUGUUGGGAUGAUUGCUUGGUGCAGCAUAGGGAAGGUAAGCAGGAGAGGGAAUGGGCAUAAAAUAUACUCAAACCAAACAAAACUACCCAUUAGACACAGCAUGCUGAGUUUUUUGUUUGUUUGUUUUUGUUUUUGCCUUUUUCUUUUUGCCUUUUAGGGCUGCACUUGGAGCAUAUGGAUGUUCCCAGACUAGGAGUUGAACCAGAGCUGUAGCUGUUGGCCUACGCUGCAGCCACAGCAAUGCCAGAUCCGAGCUGAGUCUGUGACCCACACCACAGCUCAUGGCAAUGCUGGAUCUCCAAUCCAGUGAGCGAAGCCAGGGAUCGAACCUGCAUCCCCAUGGAUACUAGUUGAAUUCAUUUCUGCUGGACCGCGACGGGAACUCCCACAUGCUGGGUUCUUUGAUAGACAAUCUGUAAGGAAAAGAGAAAGGUAGAGAGGAAACCUAUGCCGAGAAGAAAUGAAGACUUCUCAAAAAACUUUUUAAUUAAAAAAAUUAUUGAUUUAUUUAUUUUUGGCCAUGCCUGAGGCACGUGGAAGGUCCUGGGCCAGGGAUUGAACCUUGCACCACAGCAGUGACAACAUCAGAUUCUUAACUGCUGGGCCACCAGGGAACUCUCAAAAUUUUUUUUAAAUGGACCAGACCAAGCUAUAGUGUUUAGGAUUUCAUAGUUGAGUGAUAAGACCAUAAAGAAACACAAAGAAGGGAGUAUCACUGAAGUCACAAUAGUGAUUACUUUUUUUAAAGGGAGACAGGUAGUGGCUAUCAUGGGACAUUUGAUGGAAAUUUCUAAGCUGCAAAGUUCUAUUUUUUUGAUCUGGGUGGUAGUUAUAAUAAUUCAUUGAAGAGUACAUUUAUUUUGAAUAGUUUUUCUGCAUUUGUAUUCUAUUUUACUUUGCAAAAGAAAG